rnacentral:rRNA from 1 species
UACGGAGGGUGCAAGCGUUACUCGGAAUCACUGGGCGUAAAGAGAGCGUAGACGGCCGAUCAAGUCUGGAGUGAAAGCCCGGGGCUCAACUCCGGGACUGCUUUUGAAACUGUGUGACUGGAGUGCAGGAGAGGUAAGCGGAAUUCCUGGUGUAGCGGUGAAAUGCGUAGAUAUCAGGAGGAACACCAGUGGCGAAGGCGGCUUACUGGACUGUAACUGACGUUGAGGCUCGAAAGCGUGGGGAGCAAACAGG